UUGUUUAGGAGGGAAAUCGGUCCCCUGAGUGAUUUCUGAAAUGGGCAGGCGCUGGGAGAGCCCUGAGACAGGGAUGCGCUGGGCUGGGGGGCCUCCCUCUGCUGGCAACAGGGCAUGGAAAGGCCCAAGAGAGGAAGGGAGGAGCAAGCAUCCCCCAUGGAGACUGAACAGCCCCAGGUUUCCCAGUCCCAGCUACUUCCCCCACUCCCCCACCCAGCAGCCCCCCCACCGCCUGCUAGUCACAUUCCCAGACCCCACUGCCAGCUCUCCCCACAGCCGGUGACCUUCUGACUCCAGCCCCACUCCUUUCCUCUGUGAAAGCCACAUCACCCAGGGCUCCCUGCCGGCCAUGUGAAUGUGAGGCAAGAAGAAUCCAUCCCGUUCUGUUGUUUGAAUAUCACUGUAUAAUCCCCUCAAAUGUCUCUUCUUUUCUCUUGAACUGUUGAAUGGUGACAUAAAAUCUCCCCAGAUGUUGGUGCUUCUCUGUUAUAUUGGCAAAUAUUUAGUUUGUGCCCCAUUUUCUCCUCAGUUCUGAAAUUCUGAUAUCAAAUUCUUAAACAUCUUCCCGCUUUUCUCCCAGGGUGUCUGACUAACAUCAGGGCUAUUAUCAUCCUGAGCGUGGCCCAGGCCUUGCCUGAGAUCAGGUGCCCCAGUGGGACGGGCACUGCACAAACCCUGACCGAGUUUGGGGCACUCGUUGUGCCAGGAACUGCACAGACCCCUACAGAGAGCCAGGACCUUCUUGUGCCGGGUGCUACAGUGACCCUGACUGAGCUCUGGGCCCCUGUUGUGCCAGGCCCUGCAUGAAAUCAGGCUCCCAUUGUGCCAGGUGCUGCAGAGACCCCGAGUGAGAUCUGGGCCCCGUUCCGCUGGGCGCAGCGGAGACCCCGAGUGAGAUCUGGGCCCCGUUCCGCUGGGCGCAGCGGAGACCCCGAGUGAGAUCUGGGCCCCGUUCUGCGGGGCGCCGCGGAGACCCCGAGUGAGAUCUGGGCCCUGUUCUGCCGGGCGCCGCAGAGACCCUGAGUGAGGGUUUCCAAUUUCCAAACCUGAUGUGAUCUCGCAGCUGGAACGAGGGGAACAGCCGUGGGUCUCAGACCUCUAUGAAAAAAGUGCUCCGGAGAGCUGCCUGCACAGGGAGUGACCUACGUCUGGAUUCCCUCUGUCUCCUAUCAGGUGACGGGAUGGUGAGUGAGAACGAGGAGACACCCCAGCAGGAAGAUGCUGAGCAAGUAGAAUCACAUGGGAUGUUAUCAGGAAGAUCCAAGGGGAAUGUGUCCGGGAGUUGUGCACUCCCAGAAAAAGAAAAAGCCUGUGAGACUCAGAACAGGCCAGAGGAAAACUUCAGUAGCCACUCAGAUCUUAUUACAUGCGAGAGAAUCAACGUAGAAGAGACAUGCUACAUAUGCCACGAGUGUGGGAAAAGCUUCAAUGGGAGCUCUGACCUUCUCACACAUCAGAGAAUCCACAGGGGAGAGAAACCCUACCUGUGCUGUGAGUGCGGGAAAAGCUUCACUCGGAGCUCACACCUUAUCAGA